AGUCAAUCAAAAUAACUUAUUAUAAUGAAUCGAACAUGUAACGUAAUUAUUGUUUGCAUGAAACCUCAUACAAAGGAAUUUUUUAUUUGAAAUUUCAAUGUCUAUUUUACAAAAGUGCACAAAGGCUACUGGAAAUUCCAGGUACUUAAUCGGAAGAAAUAUUUUUCCUCGAUUAACAUCAUACAUUUCUGUUGAGAAUUCUAAAUUACACAAAUGACAAACUCAAUUGUUUCUACAAUUACAAACUGCGUUUUAAAAAGUCAACACAAUAACCAUGAGUAUUCUUUUCAUCAUUUGAACAAAUAUUUGAUAGCAAAACCUGUUUCAAA
rnacentral:lncRNA from 1 species